rnacentral:rRNA from 1 species
UUAUUAUGAGAGUUUGAUCCUGGCUCAGGACGAACGCUGGCGGCGUGCCUAAUACAUGCAAGUCGAACGCUUCUUUCCUCCCGAGUGCUUGCACUCAAUUGGAAAGAGGAGUGGCGGACGGGUGAGUAACACGUGGGUAACCUACCCAUCAGAGGGGGAUAACACUUGGAAACAGGUGCUAAUACCGCAUAACAGUUUAUGCCGCAUGGCAUAAGAGUGAAAGGCGCUUUCGGGUGUCGCUGAUGGAUGGACCCGCGGUGCAUUAGCUAGUUGGUGAGGUAACGGCUCACCAAGGCCACGAUGCAUAGCCGACCUGAGAGGGUGAUCGGCCACACUGGGACUGAGACACGGCCCAGACUCCUACGGGAGGCAGCAGUAGGGAAUCUUCGGCAAUGGACGAAAGUCUGACCGAGCAACGCCGCGUGAGUGAAGAAGGUUUUCGGAUCGUAAAACUCUGUUGUUAGAGAAGAACAAGGACGUUAGUAACUG